UUACGGGAGGCAGCAGUAAGGAAUAUUGGGCAAUGGACGAAAGUCUGACCCAGCCAUGCCGCGUGAAGGAUUAAGGUCCUCUGGAUUGUAAACUUCUUUUCUCUGGGGCGAAAACCAGCUAUUCUUAGCUAUUUGACAGUACCAGAGGAAUAAGCACCGGCUAACUCCGUGCCAGCAGCCGCGGUAAUACGGAGGGUGCAAGCGUUAUCCGGAUUCACUGGGUUUAAAGGGUGCGUAGGUGGGCUAGUAAGUCAGUGGUGAAAUCCCCGAGCUUAACUUGGGAACUGCCGUUGAUACUAUUAGUCUUGAAUAUCGUGGAGGUAAGCGGAAUAUGUCAUGUAGCGGUGAAAUGCUUAGAUAUGACAUAGAACACCAAUUGCGAAGGCAGCUUGCUACACGGUCAUUGACACUGAGGCACGAAAGCGUGGGGAGCAAACAGGAUUAGAUACCCCGGU
rnacentral:rRNA from 1 species